rnacentral:rRNA from 1 species
UACGUAGGGGGCUAGCGUUGUCCGGAAUCAUUGGGCGUAAAGCGCGUGUAGGCGGCCCGGUAAGUCCGCUGUGAAAGUCGGGGGCUCAACCCUGGAAGGCCGGUGGAAACUGUCGGGCUAGAGUCCGGAAGAGGCGAGUGGAAUUCCCGGUGUAGCGGUGAAAUGCGCAGAUAUCGGGAGGAACACCAAUUGCGAAGGCAGCUCGCUGGGACGUCACUGACGCUGAGACGCGAAAGCGUGGGGAGCAAACAGG